AGUGAACGCUGGCGGUAGGCCUAACACAUGCAAGUCGAACGGCAGCACAGUAAGAUCUUGCUCUUACGGGUGGCGAGUGGCGGACGGGUGAGGAAUACAUCGGAAUCUACUUUUUCGUGGGGGAUAACGUAGGGAAACUUACGCUAAUACCGCAUACGACCUACGGGUGAAAGCAGGGGAUCUUCGGACCUUGCGCGAUUGAAUGAGCCGAUGUCGGAUUAGCUAGUUGGCGGGGUAAAGGCCCACCAAGGCGACGAUCCGUAGCUGGUCUGAGAGGAUGGACGGCAGCAGUGGAACAGAGACACGGUCGAGACGCAUACGGGAGGCAGCAGUAGGGAAUCUUGAGCAAUGGGCGAAAGCGGGAAGGAGCAAUGGCGGGUAAGUGAUGAAGGUCUUCGGAUCGUAAAACUCUGUUAUGAAGGAAGAACAAAAGUGUAAGGAACCCUGCACGUCUUGACCGUACCUAAUCAGAAAGCCACGGCUAACUACGUG
rnacentral:rRNA from 1 species